rnacentral:rRNA from 1 species
UACGUAGGGUGCGAGCGUUUAAUCGGAAUUACUGGGCGUAAAGCGUGCGCAGGCGGCGCGUUAAGACAGGUGUGAAAGCCCCGAGCUUAACUUGGGAAUUGCGCUUGUGACUGGCGUGCUGGAGUGUGGCAGAGGGAGGUGGAAUUCCACGUGUAGCAGUGAAAUGCGUAGAGAUGUGGAGGGACACCGAUGGCGAAGGCAGCCUCCUGGGCCAGCACUGACGCUCAUGCACGAAGCGUGGAGAGCAAACAGG